GUACACGGUGGAUGCCCUGGCAGUCAGAGGCGAUGAAGGGCGUGCUAAUCUGCGAUAAGCGCCGGUAAGGUGAUAUGAACCGUUAUAACCGGCGAUACCCGAAUGGGGAAACCCAGUGUGACUCGUCACACUAUCAUUAACUGAAUCCAUAGGUUAAUGAGGCGAACCGGGGGAACUGAAACAUCUAAGUACCCCGAGGAAAAGAAAUCAACCGAGAUUCCCCCAGUAGCGGCGAGCGAACGGGGAGGAGCCCAGAGCCUGAAUCAGCAUGUGUGUUAGUGGAAGCGUCUGGAAAGGCGCGCGAUACAGGGUGACAGCCCCGUACACAAAAGCGCAUGUGCUGUGAGCUCGAUGAGUAGGGCGGGACACGUGGUAUCCUGUCUGAAUAUGGGGGGACCAUCCUCCAAGGCUAAAUACUCCUGACUGACCGAUAGUGAACCAGUACCGUGAGGGAAAGGCGAAAAGAACCCCGGCGAGGGGAGUGAAAAAGAACCUGAAACCGU
rnacentral:rRNA from 1 species